rnacentral:rRNA from 1 species
AGUUUGAUCCUGGCUCAGGACGAACGCUGGCGGCGUGCUUAACACAUGCAAGUCGAACGAGGUCCAACCAAUGGCAACAUUGGGGAAGACCUAGUGGCGAACGGGUGAGUAACACGUGAGGAACCUGCCCCGAAGACCGGGAUAACCCUCCGAAAGGAGAGCUAAUACCGGAUGUCCCCACCGGACCGCAUGAUCUGGUGAGGAAAUGGAUUCCGCUUCGGGAGGGCCUCGCGGCCUAUCAGCUUGUUGGCGGGGUAACGGCCCACCAAGGCAUCGACGGGUAGCUGGUCUGAGAGGACGAUCAGCCACACUGGGACUGAGACACGGCCCAGACUCCUACGGGAGGCAGCAGUGGGGAAUCUUGCGCAAUGGGCGAAAGCCUGACGCAGCAACGCCGCGUGGGGGAUGAAGGCUCUCGGGUUGUAAACCCCUUUCAGCAGGGACGAAACUGACGGUACCUGCAGAAGAAGCCCCGGCCAACUACGUGCCAGCAGCCGCGGUAACACGUAGGGGGCAAGCGUUGUCCGGAUUUAUUGGGCGUAAAGAGCUCGUAGGCGGUUCGAUAAGUCGGGUGUGAAACCUCCAGGCUCAACCUGGAGACGCCACCCGAUACUGUUGUGACUGGAGUCCGGUAGGGGAGCGUGGAAUUCCUGGUGUAUCGGUGAAAUGCGCAGAUAUCAAGAGG